rnacentral:rRNA from 1 species
AACGCUGGCGGCGCGCUUAACACAUGCAAGUCGAGCGAGAACCUUUCCUUCGGGAUUGGGGACAGCGGCGAACGGGUGAGUAACACGUGGGUAAUCUGCCCUCGGCAUCGGGAUAGCCCGGGGAAACCCGGAUUAAUACCGAAUAGCCUCCGGAGCCUUCGGGCGCCGGAGAAAAGGUAGCUUCGGCCUCUGGUCGAGGAUGAGCCCGCGGCGGAUUAGCUUGUUGGCGGGGUAACGGCCCACCAAGGCGACGAUCCGUAGCUGGUCUGAGAGGACGAUCAGCCACACUGGGACUGAGACACGGCCCAGACUCCUACGGGAGGCAGCAGUGGGGAAUCCUGCGCAAAUGCGGGAAACCGUGACGCAGCGACGCCGCGUGGGGGAAGAAGGCCUUCGGGUUGUAAACCUCUUUCAGGAGGGACGAAGCUACUCGGGUGAAUAGCCCAGAGGGUGACGGUACCUUCAGAAGAAGCCCCGGCUAACUACGUGCCAGCCGCCGCGGUAAAAC